AGACAACAAAAUGUUUAAUAUUAUUAUUUUGUCACCUUAGGUCGAUCGGUAUCUCACGUUCUUAAAUUUAUUGAGAAUUUCAAUUCCUAAGUUUUUCUAGGUCACACCCAUUAUUUUCCUGGGCCAUUAGCUCAGGUGGUUAGAGCGCACCCCUGAUAAGGGUGAGGUCCCUGGUUCAAGUCCAGGAUGGCCCAUAUCUCUAUGUUGGGGGUAUAGCUCAGUUGGUAGAGCGCCUGCUUUGCAAGCAGGAUGUCAGCGGUUCGAGUCCGCUUACCUCCACUGAUUACCACCUCUUCCAUAAUCUGGAUAAAGGAAAUGUUUUGAGAUGUGAUCAAAUUCUGAACGAAUUUAGCUUCCUAAUGAAAUCAUUAAGAUGCUGGAUUCAUUGAAUUAAUUUCAUUGUUUUCAGAGAACCUUGACAACUGCAUAGAUUAUUUUUAAAGACAAUAAGCAUCUUUAAUGAUGCAGAUUUAUUAUUUGUGCGAAUGCAUUAAUAACAAUUCUAUUAAGCUGAUGCUUCAAUUUUGAAGUUAUU
rnacentral:tRNA from 1 species